rnacentral:rRNA from 1 species
UACGUAGGGGGCAAGCGUUGUCCGGAUUUAUUGGGCGUAAAGGGCGCGUAGGCGGCACGGCAAGUCAGGAGUGAAAGGCCUGGGCUCAACCGAGGAACUGCUUUUGAGACUGCCGAGCUAGAGUGCAGAAGGGGCAACUGGAAUUCCCAGUGUAGCGGUGAAAUGCGUAGAUAUUGGGAAGAACACCUGAGGCGAAGGCGGGUUGCUGGGCUGACACUGACGCUGAGGCGCGAAAGCCAGGGAGCAACGGG